UCCAAAUUAAACCAAAAUAAUAGACCAAGAGAUCAACAACAAAGCAAAGAUUAAGAUUCCCAUCCAUCUACUAAAGUAGCAACAUAAUACAAUUAUUUCUACUGCACAAUAUUUGUUGAUCUUUUAAGAUUUAUUUUGGUGCUCUAUGAUAGAGUGAGAUAGACAGGAAGGUUAGGGAGAGAGAGCGGGGGACAUGCAGCAAAGGACCGCGGGUAGGAAUGGACCCGGGGCGCUGCGGUGAGGACUGGCCCCUAAAUGCUACGCGGUCUAACCGGUAAGCCUCAUCACUGCGCAAUUUUACACAUCAUUUUCUCUUUUCUCUAAUAUUUAUCGUGAAUAUUUUCAUUUACUGGAACAUUUCUGCCACUGUCUUCGCAAUAUUUAUUCCAUAAAUAGAUAAGGGCUGUGAUAUUUGUUGUCUGUAUAAGAUCAGGUUUCAGACUCAAAUGGAGACUCGAACUCAGGUUGAGGAGGUUAAACCAAAAUGAUCUUAAUCUCUGCAGAUCUAUCAGAAAUAAUGAUUGCCAGCAAACAAAAGUUUAAUCAUUAACUAGGACACUUACUAGACUUGCUUAGCUACAGGACGGGACCUUCAGACAAACGGAUAACAAACGGAGGGCUUAACAACACAUGAGGACACAAUUAACAAAUCAACAAAUCAAACCAGGAGGAAGUAAAUCUAGAUAACGAUGGGAAGGAAAAGAAUAACUGAGGACAUCUGGAGGAAGAAACUAAAACGACACAAAGACAAACAACCGUUGAAACUGUGACAGGUUGGUUGUAUAAUUAUCAUGGGCAGCCAUUUCCUGCAUCCCCUGGUAUUAAUAAAAAAGAAACAACUACUAUCAUCAAUAGGCUAAGGUGCUCCUUCAGAACUACAAUAAAAUAUUUCAGAAUUUCAAUAAACUACUUCUGAUUCACAAUAAACUCAUUCAAAAUCACAAAAUGUUGUUCCUUCAGAACUACAAUAAAAAUAUUUAGAACUACAGUAAACCUACCUAACUCUUUCAGAACUACAAAGGCAAUCAAUCAGUUGACAUGCAUGGUGCAAAGCUUUUUCCUUAUGUUUGUCUGCAGAUUUGAGCUUUUCAGGGAUUUAGGGGCAAUCAAUCAGUUGACAUGCAUGGUGCAAAGCUUUUCCUUAUGUUUGUCUGCAGAUUUGAGCUUUUCAGGGAUUUAGGGGGUUUAUUAGGAAAGGAAAUGUGUUUUGGAGACUGACUCAAAGAUUAAGA
ensembl:lncRNA